GGGACUCGGGGAAGUGACGCAUCAGGGGUGGGAACUGCAGUCUUGCUAGUAUGUCUGCGCUCACCCGUCUGGUACCUUUCGGCCGCGUCGGAGGCCGCCUGCUCCGGGGCUGCCGCGCGCGGGCGGCUGGAGACAGUGGAGUCCGUCAGUGAGUGUCGGGCGGGGGCGAGGGUUCGGCCGGCUUGAACAGGCAGCGCUGCCAUCCGGACGCUGUCACCUUGAAGCAGUCGCCCGGGAGGCGCUGGCGGUGGUGUACAUAUUCAGCCCCGGUACAGGGAGUUUCCCCAGCUUACCCGGUCCCAGGUGAUCCAGGGUGAGUUCUUAAGCUCACUCAUGUGGUUCUGGAUUCUUUGGCGAUUUUGGCAUGACUCGGAUGCUGUGCUGGGUCACUUUUCAUAUCCAGAUCCUUCACAGUGGACAGAUGAAGAACUGGGAAUCCCUCCUGAUGACGAGGACUGACACUGUAAACUCUCUGGACGAGUAGGAGCAAGGUGAGACAUUUCAAGAAAUUACAGACUUCAUUAAAGGUGUAAAUUAAAGUGGCUUGCCAAAAACGAGGAACUGAGUUAUGUUUCUGAUGACAACUGUCCUUUAUUUCCUAUCCUCUAACUGCUUGCUGGUCCAGUGGUUUGUGCCCUUUCAGCUGACCCUCUCGGGUCCCCUAUGAUGUAGGUAGAUGUUCUUUGAGGCUAUCAAGGACCACGGAGAUUGUUUCUUGCUUAGCAUCACUCACUUGUUAGGUUACCUAUGACUCCAAAGCUUACGUAUAACUUAAGUACCAUGCCUCUGCCUCGUGUGCUGACAGGUGAUGUGACCAUAUAGAUGCUCCAGAGAUUGUUGCCCCAGAGGUUAGGGGUCAGAAGAGUCCAUUGCUUUCCAAGUGGCCUCUUGUAGGACUCAUAAGUCACGUGUGACUUAGAACUUCUUAGGGAUGGA